rnacentral:rRNA from 1 species
GACGAACGCUGGCGGCGUGCUUAACACAUGCAAGUCGAACGGUAAGGCCCUUCGGGGUACACGAGUGGCGAACGGGUGAGUAACACGUGGGUGAUCUGCCCUGCACUUCGGGAUAAGCCUGGGAAACUGGGUCUAAUACCGGAUAGGACUCCGGACUGCAUGGUCUGGGGUGGAAAGCUUUUGCGGUGUGGGAUGGGCCCGCGGCCUAUCAGCUUGUUGGUGGGGGGAUGGCCCACCAAGGCGACGACGGGUAGCCGGCCUGAGAGGGGGACCGGGCACAGUGGGACUGAGAUACGGCCCAGACUCCUACGGGAGGCAGCAGGGGGGAAUAUUGCACAAUGGGCGCAAGCCUGAUGCAGCGACGCCGCGUGAGGGAUGACGGCCUUCGGGUUGUAAACCUCUUUCAGCAUCGACGAAGCGAAAGUGACGGUAGGUGCAGAAGAAGGACCGGCCAACUACGUGCCAGCCGCCGCCGUAA